CUAAAUUUGCAAUUAUACAUCGUACGUGUUUUUCCAUUUCAGUGUUCAAAUUUUAUGCAAAAUCAGAAACGAGGACAAAUAAAAUAGUAUUUCGAAAUUAAGUAGCUUUAAAGUGUGUGUGUGUGUGUGUGUGUGGGUGUGUGUAAGGGUGUAAUGUGUGUGAGCUUACAGAUACAAAUUUUAUAAUUUAAGUGUAAUUAAAUACAAUAAUAAAUUAUGGUUAAAGAAGGGCUGGUGGCAUUAACUUAGUUGAAAUGUACACAAAACUUAACGUUAGUUAAAAACGAGAGAUAUUUACAGGAUUUAUUACAAAGUUCUCGGCUACGUCAACCUUUGAUCUCUUUCUAUAAUGUCUAUGAUACAACAACAAAAGCGCAACAGUGUCAGUGACAGUCGGUUCAAGGUCAAAAUCGGUUAAGCUUCCAAUUCCGCUUCUCCAAUUUCAAAUAUCAAUUCUUGAUCGUUUCUUCGCAAUUAAAUAUUUUAUAAUAAAUUCAGAUUCCGAUUUAAUAUUAGUUUAAGCUUUUCAAAUUCAAAAUAUAUUCAAACAGAAUCAAUAGAAAAAGUCAGUCUGGAUCUGUAUCUCUUGACUGUGGAAAUGAAGGGACACUCAGGGUUCUAAAAGGUGCCUAAGUACGAGUACGAGUAUUUUGAUGUGUUUACAAUUUUUUGUAGUUGCAAAUUGUGUGAAUGGUAUUGGGAUUCGGAUCUCGGGCUUAAUCUGACGGUGCAACAAAUUAUCAAAUUUUUCUAUAUUUUUCACACCUGUGGCCGCCCGCACUGUGGUCAAUGCGUUCCCCCAGCUGAAGAUCCUCACCUCAGAGCUGCAUCCCGUGGCGCCCAAUCACUUCGGACAGAAAUACUUUGGUACAGACUAGAUGAUAGGUCAGCGGAGAAGUCACAUCAGAGCGACGCGCAAGCGAGCAACCCCAACAGACUUGACAACUAAGCGCUGCUUAGGAUAGGUAGUAUGGCAUUUGAAUCGACAGCUGCGUCGGCGACAGCGAGCAAAUUACCCAAACUUCUUUCACAACUGGCUUUUAAUGCAACUCUCAAAAUCGUAAAUCAGUUAACUUAACGGUGUAAAUAUAUAGCGGGAGCAUAAAUAAAUAUAUAAAACAGUGA